GACGAACGCUGGCGGCGUGCUUAACACAUGCAAGUCGUACAGUAAGGCCCUUUCGGGGGUACACGAGUGGCGAACGGGUGAGUAACACGUGAGUAACCUGCCCACAACUUUGGGAUAACGCUAGGAAACUGGUGCUAAUACUGGAUAUGUGCUCCUGCUGCAUGGUGGGGGUUGGAAAGCUCCGGCGGUUGUGGAUGGACUCGCGGCCUAUCAGCUUGUUGGUGGGGUAGUGGCCUACCAAGGCGGCGACGGGUAGCCGGCCUGAGAGGGUGACCGGCCACAUUGGGACUGAGAUACGGCCCAGACUCCUACGGGAGGCAGCAGUGGGGAAUAUUGCACAAUGGGCGCAAGCCUGAUGCAGCAACGCCGCGUGCGGGAUGACGGCUUUCGGGUUGUAAACCGCUUUCAGCAGGGACGAAGCUUUUUGUGACGGUACCUGCAGAAGAAGCACCGGCUAACUACGUG
rnacentral:rRNA from 1 species